rnacentral:rRNA from 1 species
ACGGAAGGCAGCAGUAGGGAAUCUUCCACAAUGGGCGAAAGCCUGAUGGAGCAACGCCGCGUGUGUGAUGAAGGGUUUCGGCUCGUAAAACACUGUUGUAAGAGAAGAAUGACAUUGAGAGUAACUGUUCAAUGUGUGACGGUAUCUUACCAGAAAGGAACGGCUAAAUACGUGCCAGCAGCCGCGGUAAUACGUAUGUUCCAAGCGUUAUCCGGAUUUAUUGGGCGUAAAGCGAGCGCAGACGGUUAUUUAAGUCUGAGGUGAAAGCCCUCAGCUCAACUGAGGAAUUGCUUUGGAAACUGGAUGACUUGAUUGCUGUAGAGGAAAGUGGAACUCCAUGUGUAGCGGUGAAGUGCGUAGAUAUAUGGAAGAACCCCAGUGGCGAAGGCGGCUUUCUGGACUGUAACUGACGUUGAGGCUCGAAAGUGUGGGUAGCGAACAGGAUUAGAUACCCUGGUA